rnacentral:rRNA from 1 species
UGGGGGAUAUUGCACAAUGGGCGAAAGCCUGAUGCAGCGACGCCGCGUGGGGGAUGAAGGCCUUCGGGUUGUAAACUUCUUUUGCUCUGAACAAGGCAUGCCUUUGGGGUGUGUUGAGUGUAGGGGUUGAUUAGCGCCGGCUAACUACGUGCCAGCAGCCGCGGUAAUACGUAGGGCGCGAGCGUUGUCCGGAAUUAUUGGGCGUAAAGGGCUUGUAGGUGGCUGGUUGCGUCUGUCGUGAAAGCUCGUGGCUUAACUGUGGGUUUGCGGUGGGUACGGGCUGGCUUGAGUGCAGUAGGGGAGGCUGGAAUUCCUGGUGUAGCGGUGGAAUGCGCAGAUAUCAGGAGGAAUACCGGUGGCGAAGGCGGGUCUCUGGGCUGUUACUGACGCUGAGGAGCGAAAGCGUGGGGAGCGAACAGG